CCGUACGAUGGAGGAAUGAACUUCCCGAUCAAAACCCUGAAACGCAUGGACCCAUCAGAGGUGAACAUCUCGGAUGAAAUGGCCAAAAGCGGCAUUUGGAAGUCCAUGAACCCCGACAGCAGCAGAGCUCUGAAACGCUGCAACAGCCAGGAGAAGCUGCAGAGCGUCCGGAUAAACGUGGAGACCGAGGACGGUCGCAGAGUCGUGAACGAGGACACGCUGCUAUGAUCCCCCGCGCUCACCACCAUCGGGCAGCGCUGUUUGAGGACGUGGC